UGAAUACGAGACGCUAAGGCGUCGAAGUAGUGUAUGUCAUACUUCCAAGAAAAGCUUGCACUGUCAUAGAUAAAAAACGCCUGUACCAUAACCGACACAGGUGGGUAGGUAGAGUAUACUAAGGGGCGCGAGAUAACUCUCUCUAAGGAACUCGGCAAAAUAACUCCGUAACUUCGGGAGAAGGAGUGCCUUAUUAUUAAGGUUGCAAUAACAAGAUCCAAGCAACUGUUUACCAAAAACACAGGUCUCCGCUAAGUCGUAAGACGAUGUAUGGGGGCUGACGCCUGCCCAGUGCCAGAAGGUUAAAGAAGCUGGUUAGCAUUUGCGAAGCUAGUAACUGAAGCCCUGGUGAACGGCGGCCGUAACAAUAACGGUCCUAAGGUAGCGAAAUUCCUUGUCGGGUAAGUUCCGACCCGCACGAAAGGCGUAAUGAUUUGGAUACUGUCUCGGAGAGGGGCUCGGUGAAAUAGACUUGUCUGUGAAGAUGCGGACUACCUGCACCAGGACAGAAAGACCCUAUGAAGCUUUACUGUAACUUGAAAUUGAAAUUGGACUUUAUUCGCGCAGUAUAGGUGGGAGGCGUUGAUUAUAAUCUUGCGGGAUUAUUGGAGCCAUUAGUGAGAUACCACUCUUGUAAUGUUAGAUUUCUAACUUUGAAUCAUUAUCUGGUCAAAGAACAGUUUCAGGCGGGCAGUUUGACUGGGGCGGUCGCCUCCUAAACGGUAACGGAGGCGUACAAAGGUUUCCUCUGAACGGUUAGAAAUCGUAUCUAGAGUGUAAAGGCAUAAGGAAGCUUGACUGUGAGACCUACAAGUCGAGCAGGGACGAAAGUCGGUCUUAGUGAUCUGACGGUACUGAGUGGAAAGGCCGUCACUCAACGGAUAAAAGUUACUCUAGGAUAACAGGCUGAUCUCCCCCAAGAGUUCACAUCGACGGGGAGGUUUGGCACCUCGAUGUCGGCUCAUCGCAUCCUGGGGCGGUAGUACGUCCCAAGGGUUGGGCUGUUCGCCCAUGAAAGCGGUACGCGAGCUGGGUUCAGAACGUCGUGAGACAGUUCGGUCCAUAUCCGGUGUAGGCGUUAGAAUAUUGAGAGGAGCCUUCUUUAGUACGAGAGGACCGAGAAGGACAUACCUCUGGUGUACCAGUUAUCGUGCCAACGGUAGACGCUGGGUAGCUAUGUAUGGAGUGGAUAACCGCUGAAAGCAUCUAAGUGGGAAGCCCACCUCAAGAUAAGUAUUCUCAU
rnacentral:rRNA from 1 species